rnacentral:lncRNA from 1 species
UAUCUCGUUGUUUCUUCCUCAGCUGAGUCUUUUGUAGACAUUUCAGUCUGAGUCCGGAUUUUUAUCCGAAGUAUCCUUUGCGGAUAGUUUUACUGUAUUGGCAUAUUCCCUAAUACAUGCAUCCUUGUGUCAGCGAGUCUUUCCAUCGAUUUAUUUUUGUGGAAUCCUCUCGUAUCUCCCAGCAAGUUCUCAAGUCGUGACCUGCUCACGCAUUUUUACCCUAUUUUCCCCAGAGUCUCUGUCUCCCUAGUGAGUGUGUUACUCCUACGGAUUUUUC